CCGGGGGGGGGGGCAUCAGCAAAGAAGAAACGCACAACCUUGGCCGGGAGCCCACCGCACUGACAAAGCAUUGAUGAUCCUGGAGAAACCUCGGCCUGUGUGUGAUCGAACCUUCCGCAGGGGAGAAACCUGAACUCAGGACUUAUGUUUUCUGGCACUGCCAUCAGAUCUUUACCCUUUGGAGUUCUUUCCCCUGUGUGAUGUUAGGCUCUUAACCUAGGGGAAAACCUUUAUGUAACUCACUAAGAGAGAGAAUGCUUCUCUCCAGAGGGUGAAGGCCUUGGCAGAGCAAGAACUCCUGAGAGGGCCAGUGCUUGGACCCUAGUCUGCAGCUCGGGUAUUUCUGUGUGUGGUCUGAUUUCCUGUCCAAAAGGAAAUGUUGUGAAGUUUUUGCUUUGUCUGACACUUUUGGACUUUUGUUUUGUUUCUGAGAUGAUCAUUUGUUUUAGGUGCCUGGUGAGUGUUUGGAAAUAUUUGCCUUUUUUUUUUUUGAUUUUUGUUUUGUUUGUUUGUGGUGUGUGGGUGUGUGGUGGUGGUUCAUGUCUUCCUGACAUGUCUUCAUUUCUCUUUGGGGUUGGAAUUUGAAGGCUUGGUGCUGCUGAGGGCUGAUAGCAGAUUGUUCCAGCCUGGGAUAACUACAUAUGUCCACAGUAUAUGUGCACGCACAUGGCUAUUUAUGUUCCCAAUGUAUGUAUGCUCACAAGACUGAAACAUUUAGUGUGUGUAUGUGUGUGUAUGUGUGUUCCCAGUGUGAGGUGUCUGUAUACACACACACCCAGAAUAGGGCUGAGGGACCCAAGAAUCCUUUAGCCGGCAUCCUCAGGCCCUCAUAGUGACCAAGGUAGUGAAGGGUCUCAUUCCUGUCACCCCAGCCCUGGCUGACAUGUUGCUGAGGCAGGAGAUUAGGAGAUUAGCCUUGAGGUCAUCAACCCCCAAACACUUCAACUACUUAGCGUAAUGGAGGUGAGCCGUGUCCACUUUCUUUCUUCUCUUCCUUGGUGAAUGAACGUGGCUGUUGCUGCAGUACCGCUCUCGGUAGCGCCCGAGAAGUGAGUUGGGUUGCACUGAAAUUGUAUGUCGUCUAUAGGUGAAUGUGUGCGCUGUGCACCAGACCAGGGUGGUUCACCUAUGUAUGUCGUCUAUAGGUGAAUGUGUGCGCUGUGCACCAGACCAGAAUGGUUCACCUAUGUAUGUCGUCUAUAGGUGAAUGUGUGCGCUGUGCACCAGACCAGGGUGGUUCACCUAUGUAUGUCGUCUAUAGGUGAAUGUGUGCGCUGUGCACCAGACCAGGGUGGUUCACCUAGAUUGUGUGUGAUUAGGCACCGCCACCCUUUCCCAAACUUCUUGACUGAAAAAGAAAAGCCAAGUAUUUUGCUAACGACAGGCUCUGUUACAUGUGUUAUUAUUCCAAGCCUGGACUCUUUUAUUUAUUUAAAACUAUUUUCAUUUCCCUAUUGGCUUUCUUCUUAUCCCAUCUGUCCCUGUGUGGCUUCAGGGUAUGUCUUCGUUAGAGUAGACGGGUGGCAGAAAUAGAUUUAUAGUCAUUCAGGAAGCCGGUGGCUUGGAGCUGAGGAGUUCCUUUCGUUCUUGUUGCCUUCGACAGCAAGUGCAAAGUCAAGUUUUUUUUUUUCUUUUGGAUUUUGUUUUUUACAUAUAGCAAAAGACCAAAUUAGCUGUAUAGUCUUGGAUACAGAAAAUAAGAAUUAUUCUAGCUCUCCUAGCAUUUAGGGUUCUGUGGGGAUCCCAUAGCACAGUGCCUGGCUCGUAGAAAGCCUGGCUAAUGUUCAAUAUUGAUAUUAGUAGUUUAUCAUAAAACUUGAGAAAUAAAGAGCUGCGCUCACCCCCUAUCUGUUGAUUCAAACAUGAUGAUUACACAAGAGUCUUGUUGAGUCGAUCAAUGGUAUAGGAAUUUGUUGUUCCAAAUGUUUCAGCUCUGUGCCUACCCUGCUCACUGGAAUUAUACCGUUUUUCUUGAAUGUGCUGAUUGGGAAACAUGUCAGUCUUCAGCACUCUGUGAAACAAGACUGAAAGAAUUUAUUAAGGAAAGUUGAAUCCACCAAUAUGUUCUGGAACAUUCCAGGGGUUUCUUUGGGGACCUUUUUGAGCUCAAAAUUAAAAGUUCUCUCACAAGUUGCA